rnacentral:rRNA from 1 species
AGUGAACGCUGGCGGCGUGCCUAAUACAUGCAAGUCGAACGGAGAUUAAGUAGCUUGCUAUUUAAUCUUAGUGGCGCACGGGUGAGUAAUAUAUAGCUAACUUGCCCAUUACUAAGGGACAACAGUUGGAAACGACUGCUAAUACCUUAUACUCCGUAUCUAUAUAAGUAGAUACGGGAAAGUUUUUCGGUAAUGGAUAGGGCUAUAUCGUAUCUGCUAGUUGGUAAGGUAAUGGCUUACCAAGGCUAUGACGCGUAACUGGUCUGAGAGGAUGAUCAGUCACACUGGAACUGAGACACGGUCCAGACUCCUACGGGAGGCAGCAGUAGGGAAUAUUGCUCAAUGGGGGAAACCCUGAAGCAGCAACGCCGCGUGGAGGAUGACACUUUUCGGAGCGUAAACUCCUUUUCUUGGGAAAGAAUUAUGACGGUACCCAAGGAAUAAGCACCGGCUAACUCCGUG